AGACGCAAUCAGCCCCACCGUUCUUCAUGCUCAUCGGGACCUUUGUGAUGUUGGCCCUGUGAUUUAGUGCCCCUCAUCCUCCUCUUGUCUUCACCUCCCUCCUGCCCCAGCUGAGCCCGUCUCCUUGGAGGCCUAGGGCAGGAAAAUUUCUCUCCGAGACGUACGCGGGAGCCCUGCAGCCAGGAUGAUGGAUGAGCGGGCAAGGGCUGUUCGAGGCAGCCUGAGCAGAGAGAGAAAUACGGCAGCAAACAUGGCUCUGUGUGUAGAGUGCUAAAGGCCAAAGGACAGAACCCUGUGGAACACCAAGCACGUAAGAGAUGGCUUAACAAGGAGGAUGCAUGAAGAAAUCAGUGAAGGGUUGUCAGCGAAAGAUGGAGAAACAAGAAGCCAAGAGAGAAGAUAGCUUCACCCCUAACAGAAUGGCGUGUGGACUUCUUGCUCAAGCAGCAUGGCCGGGAAGAAAAGAUGAGUGCUCAGGGCC